UAUGGCCAUAACACAUUGAAACACUGGUUCCCAUAGGACCAGCAAAGUUAAGCAAUGUUGUGCCUGGUCAGUUCCUGGAUGGGUGACUACUUGGGCCUACCAGGUGCUGUAAG